rnacentral:rRNA from 1 species
GACGAACGUUGGCGGCGUGCUUAUCACAUGCUAGUCGAACGGAAAGGCCCUGCUUUUGUGGGGUGCUCGAGUGGCGAACGGGUGAGUAACACGUGAGUAACCUGCCCUUGACUUUGGGAUAACUUCAGGAAACUGGGGCUAAUACCGGAUAGGAGCUCCUGCUGCAUGGUGGGGGUUGGAAAGUUUCGGCGGUUGGGGAUGGACUCGCGGCUUAUCAGCUUGUUGGUGGGGUAGUGGCUUACCAAGGCUUUGACGGGUAGCCGGCCUGAGAGGGUGACCGGCCACAGUGGGACUGAGAUACGGCCCAGACUCCUACGGGAGGCAGCAGUGGGGAAUAUUGCACAAUGGGCGGAAGCCUGAUGCAGCAACGCCGCGUGCGGGAUGACGGCCUUCGGGUUGUAAACCGCUUUCGCCUGUGACGAAGCGUGAGUGACGGUAAUGGGUAAAGAAGCACCGGCUAACUACGUG